CUCUCUGGGACCGCAGCCGGAGCAUUUAGGCAGAAGGUGCUCUCUUUCGUCUGGGUUUGCUGGCUACGGGGAUCAGGUAAGCCUAGAACUGUGGGGUCAUCACUGGUACUUUGCGGGAGACUCUGCCUGAAAACGAAGCCAACACACAAAAAUGAGCAGAUGAGAAACAAAGAGAAUUCUGAUGUUUAAACUCCAGGAUUUGCUCCUGGAAUAUUCCAUUCACAAGAAUGAAUAAAUUCCCUUUUUUGCUUAAUCUAGUCUGAGUUUUUAUGCUUCCCUCAAAAGGACUAAGCAUUAUGGAAAGAAUUGCUAGGAUUCAAGCCAAUGGACACAGAGUACCUUGAAAAACCAAACCAAGAAAGCUUUGGCUGGGCCUCGGGUUUCUAAGUCAAGAGCUGGAGAUGAGAACACAGGCAUGGAGUCUGACUGAACUUCAUUCAAAGCUGUUCCCAGGUGGCAUCUCCCUGCGUGCUCACCACAGCCUCAGGAGCCAGGUGAGGCCAGGCCACUGGGAUGUGGACUUGCCACUCAACCUGUGAUCUGGGUGAGCCUUCGGCUGACGGGCCCUGGGGCACAGCAGGCUCUUAGCACUCGGGGAAGGACCAGCCAGCAAUGGCUGUCUGAGUUGGCAGGAAGGGUCUGUGUGCUGAGCUCCUGGGAAGUCUUGUGGGACUUAUGACAUGUCAUGCAGUCAGUCCACUCUUGUGCCCCUGGGCCUUUGCAUAUCCUGAUCCCUCAGCCUAGGACACCCUCACCAUGUUGUCUAUCCAGAAAACUUCUACUCUGCCUUCAAAAUUCAGCUCAAGGGUUACCUCUUCUGCAGAAACUUCUGUGGCAGUUUUAAAACAUGGCUGCAAGAUUUUGGUCUCAAGAGAUGAAUUCUGUGUCCCUGUCGCUUGAAUCUGGUUGGUCUUAUGACUGCUAUGCCCAAUAGAGUAUGUUGGAGGUGAUGCUAUGUGUCAUCUUAGGCUGAGUCAUAAAAGGCCAUGCAACUUCUGCCUUGUUCGUUGGGAACACUCACACUUGAACCCCCGAUACCAUGUAAAAAGUCCAACUGUCCUGAGACCACCAGGCUGGAGAGGCCACAAGUAGGCACUUUGGUCGACAGUCCCAGCUGAGCCCACUCUUCAGCCAGCCCAGCCAACCCAGCCCAACUCUUCAAGUCACCUCUAGCCAUUAGAGUCACCCCAGCUGAGGCCCAGGCCUCACGGAGCAGGGAAGACACACCCUGCAGUGUCCUAUCCAAAUUCCUGAGCCAUGGAAUCUGGAAGCAUAGAUGGUCGUUUUAUGCCACUAUGUUUUGGAGCAGGAGAUAACUAGAACACUGUCUUUGACUCAUCUGGGAAAACUUCAGUGCUUCUUCCUUUAUUUGUUUCUUCCCUGAGUUCCUCCUGCAUUGCUCCUGCAGAGCCCUGGCUACACUGGGCUGUGAUCAUCUCACGACAUGCCUAUCGCCCCAAUAGACUAUGAAGCCCUGGGGAAACGGGGCCAGAGGCUGUUUCUCACGAGACAGAGGGGCUCCUCUAGGCUGGAGGUCACACAGAAGCCCACAGCAAGGCUGACCUGAAUGAAGUCACUGAGGUAAAUGACAGCUGCAGGCUCCUCCCAUCAGUAUCAACCAUGGACAGCAUCAGCCCAGAGACUGGAGAGGGACUGAGCCCACACGAGGACCAAAUGGCCUCCACCAGGCAGAGAGAAGAGCUCUGGGGCCAGGAGACAGGCCCGGAACACUUGCCUGGGAGACUCAGAAAGAGAGGUGCAACCUGCACCACUGGGUAGUGGAUCUGGCUACUUACUGAGACCACCUUGUUCUGCGGGGAGAGGAAUCAGGGAGCUGAGCGGAGUCCCAGAUGAGCAAACAGAAGUUCAUCUGCCAGAGAACCCAGAGGAG
rnacentral:lncRNA from 1 species